rnacentral:lncRNA from 1 species
AUGUUCACCAGACUAUUUUGUUUUUUGAUUUACCAGACCACCAAGAUGAGUAAAAAGAGAAAGGCAAACAUUUCAGAAGAAGGAAACAGAGAGCUCAGCAUUUCCAAAGCAAAAAAGAUCAGUAAGAGGAAAACCCAACUGACAGAAAAGAGUGACCUAAAAAUGUCGGCACAAACUGUUCACACCAAUAAAUGUCUUUCAAAGGUUACUGCAGCGGGGAUAAAUCAAGAAUAUAAAGGAAAUACUGAAAGAGAACAUUUGGCAUUGAAUCUAGAUACAAGACACAUUUGAUGUAUGGAAGCAAGAGCUGGACCAUAAAGAAAGCUGACCAUCGAAGAAUUGCUAAUUUUGAAUUGUGCUGCUGG